rnacentral:rRNA from 1 species
AGUGAACGCUGGCGGCGUGCUUAACACAUGCAAGUCGAACGAGAACGGAAUAUAGCUUGCUAUAUUUGUCAGCUAAGUGGCGCACGGGUGAGUAAUGUAUAGAUAACCUGCCCUUAAGAAAGGAAUAACAGUUGGAAACGACUGCUAAUGCCCUAUAUGCCUUUAAUACAUAAGUAUGCAAGGGAAACGCUUUAGUGCUUAAGGAUGGGUCUGUAUGGUAUCAGCUUGUUGGUGAGGUAAUGGCUCACCAAGGCUAUGACGCCUAACUGGUUUGAGAGGAUGAUCAGUCACACUGGAACUGAGACACGGUCCAGACUCCUACGGGAGGCAGCAGUGGGGAAUGUUGCACAAUGGACGAAAGUCUGAUGCAGCAACGCCGCGUGGAGGAUGACACAUUUCGGUGCGUAAACUCCUUUUAUAUAGGAAGAUAAUGACGGUACUAUAUGGAUAAGCACCGGCUAACUCCGUGCCAGCAGCCGCCGUAA